GGCGUGAAUAUUGCACAAUGGGCGCAAGCCUGAUGCAGCCAUGCCGCGUGUGUGAAGAAGGCCUUCGGGUUGUAAAGCACUUUCAGUCGUGAGGAAGGGGGGGGAGUUAAUAGCUGCAUUAUUUGACGUUAGCGACAGAAGAAGCACCGGCUAACUCCGUGCCAGCAGCCGCGGUAAAUAAAAAAA
rnacentral:rRNA from 1 species